rnacentral:misc_RNA from 1 species
ACACCUCAACUCUCAUGGCUUGCCAUGACGAGCUUGGACUUUGGGGGUCUUGUUGGCCUGUGAGCCAGCUCCUCUUAAAUAAAUCAGCUUGCCGGUGUUUGGUGGCGUCACAGGUGUGAUAACUAUCUACGCUUGUGGUCCUCCACCAUGUAACCUUCAGUGAUAUGGAGGUUCGCUGGAGCUCACAAAUGUCUUUCCUCAGCGAAGACAGCUCUUGAUC